rnacentral:rRNA from 1 species
UCCGUAGGUGGAUAAUUAAGUCAGAGGUGAAAUCCUGCAGCUCAACUGUAGAAUUGCCUUUGAUACUGGUUAUCUUGAGUCAUUAUGAAGUGGUUAGAAUGUGUAGUGUAGCGGUGAAAUGCAUAGAUAUUACACAGAAUACCGAUUGCGAGGGCAGAUCACUAAUAAUGUACUGACACUGAGGGACGAAAGCGUGGGGAGCGAACAGGAUUAGAUACCCUGGUAGUCC